rnacentral:rRNA from 2 species
UACGUAGGGGGCAAGCGUUGUCCGGAAUCAUUGGGCGUAAAGAGCGCGUAGGCGGUCCGGUAAGUCGGUUGUGAAAACUGGGGGCUCAACCCUCAGAGGCCGACCGAUACUGCCGGGCUAGAGUCCGGAAGAGGCGAGUGGAAUUCCUGGUGUAGCGGUGAAAUGCGCAGAUAUCAGGAGGAACACCAAUGGCGAAGGCAGCUCGCUGGGACGGUACUGACGCUGAGGCGCGAAAGCGUGGGGAGCAAACAGG